UGCAGUCGACGGUUGUCAGCAAUGGCAAUAGUGGCGCACGGGUGCGUAACGCGUAACCAACCUACCUGAAUCUGGGGGAUAGCCCGCCGAAAGGCGGAUUAAUACCGCAUAAAACUGCAAUUUGGCAUCAAGUAACAGUUAAAGAUUUAUUGGAUUCAGAUGGGGUUGCGUGCCAUUAGCUAGUUGGGGAGGUAACGGCUCACCAAGGCGACGAUGGCUAGGGGAGCUGAGAGGCUGGUCCCCCACACGGGCACUGAGAUACGGGCCCGACUCCUACGGGAGGCAGCAGUAGGGAAUAUUGGGCAAUGGUCGAGAGACUGACCCAGCCAUGCCGCGUGCAGGAUGAAGGCUUUCUGAGUCGUAAACUGCUUUUAUCAGGGAAGAAUAAAGGGCAUGCGUGCUCUACUGACGGUACCUGAUGAAUAAGCACCGGCUAACUCCGUGCCAGCAGCCGCGGUAAUACGGAGGGUGCAAGCGUUGUCCGGAUUUAUUGGGUUUAAAGGGUGCGUAGGCGGUUCUUUAAGUCCGGGGUGAAAGCCCACUGCUCAACAGUGGAACUGCCCUGGAAACUGGCGAACUUGAGUACAGACGAGGGUGGCGGAAUGGAUACUGUAGCGGUGAAAUGCAUAGAUAGUAUCCAGAACCCCGAUUGCGAAGGCAGCUGCCUAGACUGUAACUGACGCUGAGGCACGAAAGCGUGGGGAGCGAA
rnacentral:rRNA from 1 species